AUUGAACGCUGGCGGCAGGCCUAACACAUGCAAGUCGAACGAGUGGCGGACGGGUGAGUAAUGCCUGGGAAACUGCCUUAUGGAGGGGGAUAACUACUGGAAACGGUCGCUAAUACCGCAUACAAUCAGAUGUGCCCAGAUGGGAUUAGCUUGUUGGUGGGGUAAAGGCUCACCAAGGCGACGAUCCAUAGCUGGUCUGAGAGGAUGACCAGCCACACUGGAACUGAGACACGGUCCAGACUCCUACGGGAGGCAGCAGUGGGGAAUAUUGGACAAUGGGCGCAAGCCUGAUGCAGCCAUACCGCGUGUAUGAAGAAGGCCUUCGGGUUGUAAAGUACUUUCAGCGGGGAAGCGUUACCCGAAGAAGAAGCACCGGCUAACUCCGUGCCAGCAGCCGCGGUAAUUC
rnacentral:rRNA from 1 species